UACGAAGGGGGCUAGCGUUGCUCGGAAUCACUGGGCGUAAAGGGUGCGUAGGCGGGUUUUUAAGUCAGAGGUGAAAUCCUGGAGCUCAACUCCAGAACUGCCUUUGAUACUGAAAGUCUUGAGUAUGGGAGAGGUGAGUGGAACUGCGAGUGUAGAGGUGAAAUUCGUAGAUAUUCGCAAGAACACCAGUGGCGAAGGCGGCUCACUGGCCCAUUACUGACGCUCAGGCGCGACAGCGUGGGGAUCAAACAGG
rnacentral:rRNA from 1 species